rnacentral:lncRNA from 1 species
UCAGACCUGCUUAUCACUUAAAAAGUUAUAAGAUUUGAUUCGAUUGUUAUUGAACAAAUGCUGCGAGAUCGGAGGCAACAAGGGCACCUCGAAAACAUACAGAGCUAAGGGCUCAGAGUUUAACUUAUGAAAUAAAAGUAGAGCUCACAGGUCGGCAUUCUAGCUCGGAAAAAGUAAACCGAAAUAGAGCUCACAGGUCGGUCAGUCCAGUUCGAAAAACGUAACUUAAGAGCUCAGCUGACUAAAGAGAUUCAAAGCUCAACCCAUCGAGUAAAGACAGAGCUCACAGGUCUGUAAGUCCAGCUCGGAAAGAGUAACGCGAAAGCUCAGUUGGCUAAGUAGAUCCGGAGUUCAGAUCAUUGAUCAAAAGCAAAAGCUCACGAAUACGGUCAGUUCAGCUCGGAAAAAACAAAAUUUAGUUGGUUAAGGCUAUGAAGAAAGCAGUAUCAGUACUCCAUCCAC